GUAGGUGAACCUGCGGAAGGAUCAUUAUCAAAUCCUACCCCCAUUGCCUCUUGUGGGUGAUGGUCGGACACCGUGCACUGGCGACUGGAGAUGGGAGAAAUUCUCCACUCGGUUGAAGGGAGGUGUGCACCCGGUGUUGAAUCAGGUGAUGCACUUAAAUCAGGAGGAAUCAAAUUUUCAGCCGCCUGCUGGGCCUCCAACCGAGUGCUCCCAUCUUUG
rnacentral:misc_RNA from 3 species